UACGGAGGGGGCGAGCGUUAUUCGGAAUUAUUGGGCAUAAAGGGCGCGUAGGCGGCCCGGUAAGUCAAAGGUGAAAUCCCUCGGCUCAACUGAGGAACUGCCUUUGAAACUGUCGGGCUUGAGGCCGGGAGGGGGUAGCGGAAUUCCCAGUGUAGCGGUGAAAUGCGUAGAUACUGGGAGGAACACCAGUGGCGAAGGCGGCUACCUGGACCGGUUCUGACGCUGAGGCGCGAAAGCGUGGGUAGCAAACAGG
rnacentral:rRNA from 1 species